GUCGCUGACCCCUUCAAAGGUCGUGCACGCUCGAGCGCUUCCACACAAUUCAUCUCUCACCCCCUUUGUGCAUCACCGCGUGGGUCCCUCCUUUGUUGGAAGGGCCUGCGUUUUUAUCAUAAAACUCGAUACAGUGUAGAAUGUUUCUUUUUGCGAUCACACGCAAUCAAUACAACUUUCAACAACGGAUCUCUUGGCUCUCGCAUCGAUGAAGAACGCAGCGAAAUGCGAUACGUAAUGUGAAUUGCAGAAUUCAGUGAAUCAUCGAAUCUUUGAACGCACCUUGCGCCCCUUGGCAUUCCGAGGGGCACACCCGUUUGAGUGUCGUGAAAUUUUCAAAAACCCUUUUUCUUUUUGGAAAAGGAUUUUUGGACUUGGAGGUUCAAUGCUCGCAUUCAGUUUUGAAAGCAAGCUCCUCUCAAAUGAAUUAGUGAGGUCCGCUUUGUCGAUCCUUGACGUGAUAAGAUGUUUCUACGUUUUGGAUUUGGCACUGUCUUUUGGACGUUCGCUUCCAAUCGUCUUAUGGACAACGAUGGUGCUUCGGUCACCGCCAUCCACGUUGGCGGGAGGCUGGACCCACAAAAAAAAUCCUUGACCUCAAAUCGGGUGAGACUACCCGCCGAACUUAA
rnacentral:rRNA from 1 species